AGUUACUUCUUCUGGCCAAAAAAUUCAAAACUACUGGGCUGAGGUGUCACAGACUGAUACAAAUCAGACAUGACAAAGGGAGACCCUUGAAGACCUUGACUAUGGACAAGAAGGAGAUCGACAAGAUCAACAAGAUAGCCGGUGAACCAAGAGCAGGCAGGCCAGAAGCAAAAGCUUCCUUCUUCCAUGGAUUUCCGGGAGCUUCCAUGGAUUUCCGGUGUGCUCCAGACCAGCCCUGGGGUUUCCCAGCUCCAAAGAUCUGGAUUAGAGUUAAGUCCAGCUGGAGCCAGGUUGGCAAGAGGAGCCACGCAGUCCUAGAACACACUGACGAUUCCUUUCACAUGGAAGCAAGCAUUCCUGUCUACAGUGUGUCUCACACCUGAUGCCACAAUGUCUACACUUAAUAACUAUGUACCAAAUGAAUUGUGCCUGAAGAGGAGAGGUGCUUCAGAUGGCUAUAAGAAAGUCUCAGUGUAAGGUCCCUGUGACACGUUGCUUUUGACGCCUUUGGUUAAAUUCCCAAGAUUAGUAUAGCUGGUAGAUCUCUCUUUAGUGUGCACAGCCUGAGGAGGCGGAAGAGACUCAGUCUGGAAUCUGUUCUCCGCCGCCAUCUUUCUCUGCUCACAGGUCUCUGCAUCUUUGACCUGCUUUUGCUUCUCUGCACAGACAAAGGCAAUCUUCAACGUAAGAUUCACACAAACCAUACAGAAAUGUGGCAGCAUUGUAGUUUUGCAAAAAUCCUCUGUCUAAAAAGAUUCUUCAAACUCUGAUCAUCUCUUCCCCGAUCAUGAAUUAGAAAUUCAAGUUUUCCACACUUGAGGAAUUUGGGAUGUAGAGUCUGGCUUCUGGGCAUGUGCACUGAAUAUUAUUGUUUUAUUUUUGCUUCUGAAGAGUCAGAUUCAUGAUACAAGGGACCAGGUGUCAUGAGGUCAAGUUCAUACAAGUGCCUACUGUGCACUGAGCAAACUCUUCCCCCAUAGCUGCCUUGCCUCCUUGUUCCUGCUCCACCUCCCCUAUUUGUCCCCUAUGUUUGCAUAAACAGUCUCACUUGUACAUUCAUAUUGUAAAUAUGUACAUGAUUUUAUGUACCUAUAUAAAAUCAGAAUCCACAAAGACAUUAUAUUUGUCUUCCUAAGACUGACUUCCCUCACUUAACUAUCUCCAGUUAAAUCCAUUUUUUUUUUUCAUACAAACAGCAUAACUUUGUUCUUUUUUAUGGCUGGGAAAAUUCUGUGUGUACAAACACAACAUUUUGUUUUUAAUCCACCCCCUCUGCUUAGAGGCUCCUAUGUUAGUUCCAUUGUUUAUCUAUUGUAGACUGCGCUUUCCUGGUUUCCCUUCAGCAAAACUCCCUAUCCCAUCCCCUUCCUCCUGCUUCUAUGAGGGUGCUCCCCCACCCACCCAUACCCUCCUGUCUCACCACCCUAGUAUUCCCUGGACACUGGGGCAUUGAGCCUUCACAGGACCAAGGGCCUCCCCUCCCAUUAAUACUAGAUAAGGCCAUCCUCUGCUACAUACGCAGCUAAAGCCAUGGAAACUCUUAUAAAGGAAAACAUUUAAUUAGGGUUGACUUACAGCUCAGAAGUUUAGUCCAUUGUCAUCAUGGAGGGAAGCAUGGCAGCAUGCAGGCAGACAUGGUGCUGGAGAGGAGCUGAGAGGUAGAUCUAAUUCUAAAUUGGCAGGCAGCAGAAAAAGAGAGUGACCCUGACUUAGGCAUCUAAGACCUCAAAAGCCCACCCGCUGUGACACACUUCUUCAAACAAGGCCACACCUCCAAUAAUGCCACUCCCUGUGAGUCUCUGGGGCCUAUUUUCAUUCAAACCAUUGCACUUCAGGAAGAAUGUUGACCCUGUACAAAUUCAGCAGUCAAUAAAGAAACAGAGUGUGCUCAUUUUGGAGACAUCAAGGAAACAACUGCAUCUUUCCUCAUGGCUUUCGGUACUUGAAUUUCUACCAGAUGGGAUUUUUUAUUCUAUAGCAGCAGGAUUUCCUAGAGCCACUAAUAGCAGGAAAUCUGAAUUUACAAACACUAAACUAGAAGCAACAUAAAAGUGAUCACCUAUAUUGGUUGGAAGACAUGAAUGAUGAUGGGUGUUUAGACUUCCUGAAAGCUAUAGGGCAUGUCGAAGAGACCUCCUGCAGGUCUUGUUUGCUGGUAUUCCCAUCUUAGAAUGCUUUCUUCUCAAAGUGAGCCAUGUGAGCCAGCCAUCUUGCAAACAUCCCCUUCUGACUCAACGUGCUGAGAGAUUCCACAGGACAACUGCCCAUCCAACUUGCUGCCAAAUUCACAGACCACAGACACGAUUAAAAAUGUCAAAUAUUUCUUGUCAAGGCAGUGAGCUUUGGGAUAAUCUGUUUUACACAGCAAUCAAUAACUAAUGCAAAAGAUGUUGAAAUUCUCAUUCACUCAUUGUUUUUUCACUGUCUGUUCUGGGCAUGGGAUUUGAUUGAUCUCAUCACGGAUUCUGAGAAAAGAAGCAGGAUGGAAAGAAACAGACCUUGGGGGCAUCAGUGAGGUCACGCCUCACAAGGGGACUGAGACUUCACUAGGCAUGGAAUUCCCUUCUGGAUGCCUGUGAUAGAAAAACACUCCUUUAGGCAGAGAGUAGAUGAUCAUCUUAACUGAAUGAGAGCUUUUUACAUUUUAAUUCAUACAGCCCACAGGAAGCAUUAGUAUUAUUCCAUUUCAUAAGAGGAAAAUUGGAGCCUGAGCAAGUCUAUGGGUCCAGGCCAUUCUAUGUAGAACCUCCCCAGCUCUUUCAGCUCUGCUUUUCCUCUGUUGGUUCAGACUCAGAUGGGGGAUUCCUAUGUAGUGGUCAGUACCACCCCUGCUCCCAGUAGCUCAUACUUAACAAUUAAGUGAUCUUCACAGCAAAGUGUUAGCCCUCUGCAAAAAGUUCUAGAAAACAGCCUGGGGACAUUUUCUUGGAUCCACUGGUUUGCUUACCAGCCCACUCUGCCCAAGCUACAGCCAGACUUCUGUUACAUGUCCAGCCAGGUAUAGGGAGGUGGGGAAACCCCAGAUGAACUUCACAGACUGAGUACAGGAGAGAGUCUUUCUAAAGAAAAUUCCAGGUUUGACCUCCACGGUAAAAAACAUUGGUUAAAAUAAAAUAAAAAUAACUGAUGGCCAACAGCAUUCCUCCCUUUGUGACUGGAGAAGAGGGAGCCUAGUAGGAGAAGGUCAGAAAGAAACUAGCAGAGUCUUGCAGAGUCUUGCAUUUACUUCACUAGCAUUCUCUAAGUGAUGCUUAAUUAGCCUCUUGCUAGGUCUUAUGGAUAAAUGCAAUAGAGCAGUAAUGUGAACUGGCUUGCAACAUUCAAUCAUCAAAACGUCAGGAAAUUCACAACACGGUUGUUAAAUGCAGCCAUUAUAAAAAUUAAGUGACUUCAUUUUAGAAUAAAAUUAUAUUAAAGUAGCGGCAAUGAGCAUGCAACUCAGGUCACUAAGCAUUUAAGACAAUUUACUUUUACCCAUAUUAUUUAUAGCUAAUGUACAUGGAGGAGACGGAAACUUCACUGAUAUCUUUAUGGAAAUUGGCCAUACUAUGGUGGCCAUAGAAAUGGCCAGAUGUUACCAUUCCAGGCUUGGGUUUGUGUUUUUCUUGAUCAUGUAAGUGAAAGUGAUGCUAUGUAGCAAGUUUUGUUUUUUUUUCUUUUUUAAUAGCCAUUGCAUUGUAAAUUGUGCAAAACAGUGAUACUGUGAUCCUCCUUUGGUGCUUGUGAAUAUCUGACAUAGAUAAAAGAAUACAUUUUUGAUG
rnacentral:lncRNA from 1 species